GAUGAACGCUGGCGGCGUGCCUAAUACAUGCAAGUCGAGCGAACAGACGAGGAUCUUGCUCCUCUGACGUUAGCGGCGGACGGGUGAGGAACACGUGGAUAACCUACCUAUAAGACUGGGAUAACUUCGGGAAACCGGAGCUAAUACCGGAUAAUAUAUUGAACCGCAUGGUUCAAUAGUGAAAGACGGUUUUGCUGUCACUUAUAGAUGGAUCCGCGCCGCAUUAGCUAGUUGGUAAGGUAACGGCUUACCAAGGCAACGAUGCGUAGCCGACCUGAGAGGGUGAUCGGCCACACUGGAACUGAGACACGGUCCAGACUCCUACGGGAGGCAGCAGUAGGGAAUCUUCCGCAAUGGGCGAAAGCCUGACGGAGCCACGCCGCGUGAGUGAUGAAGGUCUUCGGAUCGUAAAACUCUGUUAUUAGGGAAGAACAAAUGUGUAAGUAACUAUGCACGUCUUGACGGUACCUAAUCAGAAAGCCACGGCUAACUACGUG
rnacentral:rRNA from 1 species